rnacentral:rRNA from 1 species
UACGGAGGGUGCAAACGUUGCUCGGAAUCAUUGGGCGUAAAGCGCGCGUAGGCGGUUCGGCAAGUCGGGUGUGAAAGCCCUCGGCUCAACCGAGGAAGUGCACUCGAAACUACCGAGCUAGAGUACCGGAGAGGGUGACGGAAUUCCCGGUGUAGAGGUGAAAUUCGUAGAUAUCGGGAGGAACACCAGCGGCGAAGGCGGUCACCUGGACGGAUACUGACGCUGAGGUGCGAAAGCGUGGGGAGCAAACAGG